rnacentral:snRNA from 1 species
AUACCUUCUCGGUCUUUUGGCUAUGAUCAAGUGUAGUUUCUGUUCUUGUCAUGGUGACAUCUCCAACUGGAGACUUGCUUGUCACAUCUGUGUUUGAUGGGGAAGUGUCUUCAUGAGCUCGCUGAGAAGCCUUCACGUGUGGCGCUGGCAUAGCACAAGCCAGUGGCAGCACACGCUGC